UACGGAGGGGGCUAGCGUUGUUCGGAAUUACUGGGCGUAAAGCGCACGUAGGCGGCUUUGUAAGUUAGAGGUGAAAGCCCAGGGCUCAACCCUGGAAUUGCCUUUAAGACUGCAUCGCUAGAAUCAUGGAGAGGUGAGUGGAAUUCCGAGUGUAGAGGUGAAAUUCGUAGAUAUUCGGAAGAACACCAGUGGCGAAGGCGGCUCACUGGACUGGUAUUGACGCUGAGGUGCGAAAGCGUGGGGAGCAAACAGG
rnacentral:rRNA from 1 species